rnacentral:rRNA from 1 species
GUGCCAGCCGCCGCGGUAAUACGGAGGGUGCAAGCGUUAAUCGGAAUUACUGGGCGUAAAGCGCACGCAGGCGGUCUGUCAAGUCGGAUGUGAAAUCCCCGGGCUCAACCCGGGAACUGCAUUCGAAACUGGCAGGCUUGAGUCUCGUAGAGGGGGGUAGAAUUCCAGGUGUAGCGGUGAAAUGCGUAGAGAUCUGGAGGAAUACCGGUGGCGAAGGCGGCCCCCUGGACGAAGACUGACGCUCAGGUGCGAAAGCGUGGGGAGCAAACAGGAUUAGAUACCCUGGUAGUCCACGCUGUAAACGAUGUCGACCUGGAGGUUGUGCCCUUGAGGCGUGGCUUCCGGAGCUAACGCGUUAAGUCGACCGCCUGGGGAUACGGCCGCAAGGUUAAAACUCAAAUGAAUUGACGGGGCCCGCACAAGCGGUGGAGCAUGUGGUUUAAUUCGAUGCAACGCGAAGAACCUUACCUGGUCUUGACAUCCACAGAAGUUUUCAGAGAUGAGAACGUGCCUUCGGGAACUGUGAGACAGGUG